rnacentral:rRNA from 2 species
CAUGCAGUCGACGAGUUCUCGUUGAUGAUCGGUGCUUGCACCGAGAUUCAACAUGGAACGAGUGGCGGACGGGUGAGUAACACGUGGGUAACCUGCCCUUAAGUGGGGGAUAACAUUUGGAAACAGAUGCUAAUACCGCAUAGAUCCAAGAACCGCAUGGUUCUUGGCUGAAAGAUGGCGUAAGCUAUCGCUUUUGGAUGGACCCGCGGCGUAUUAGCUAGUUGGUGAGGUAAUGGCUCACCAAGGCGAUGAUACGUAGCCGAACUGAGAGGUUGAUCGGCCACAUUGGGACUGAGACACGGCCCAAACUCCUACGGGAGGCAGCAGUAGGGAAUCUUCCACAAUGGACGCAAGUCUGAUGGAGCAACGCCGCGUGAGUGAAGAAGGCUUUCGGGUCGUAAAACUCUGUUGUUGGAGAAGAAUGGUCGGCAGAGUAACUGUUGUCGGCGUGACGGUAUCCAACCAGAAAGCCACGGCUAACUACGUGCCAGCAGCCGCGGUAAUACGUAGGUGGCAAGCGUUAUCCGGAUUUAUUGGGCGUAAAGCGAGCGCAGGCGGUUUUUUAAGUCUGAUGUGAAAGCCCUCCGGCUUAACCGAGGAAGCGCAUCGUGAAACUGGGAAACUUGAGUGCAGAAGAAGACAGCGGAACUACAUCUGUAGCGGUGAAAGAGCGUAGAUAUAUGGAAGGAACAACAGUGGCGAAGGGCGGCUGUCUGGUCUGUAACUGACGCUGAGGCUCGAAAGCAUGAGUAGCGAACCAGGAUUAGAUACCCUGGUAGUCCAUGCCCGUAAACGAUGAAUGCUAGGUGUUGGAGGGUUUCCCGCCCUUCAGUGCCGCAGCUAACGCAUUAAGCAUCCCCGCCUGGGGGAGUACGACCGCAAGGUUGAAACUCAAAGGAAUUGACGGGGGCCCGCACAAGCGGUGGAGCAUGUGGUUUAAUUCGAAGCAACGCGAAAAACCUUACCAGGUCUGGACAUCUUUUGAUCACCUGAAAAAUCAGGUUUCCCCUUCGGGGGCAAAAUGACAGGUGGUGCAUGGUUGUCGUCAGCUCGUGUCGUGAGAUGUUGGGUUAAGUCCCGCAACGAGCGCAACCCUUAUGACUAGUUGCCAGCAUUUAGUUGGGCACUCUAGUAAGACUGCCGGUGACAAACCGGAGGAAGGUGGGGAUG